rnacentral:rRNA from 1 species
CCUACGGGUGGCAGCAGUGGGGAAUAUUGGGCAAUGGGCGCAAGCCUGACCCAGCAACGCCGCGUGAAGGAAGAAGGCUUUCGGGUUGUAAACUUCUUUUCUCAGGGACGAAGCAAGUGACGGUACCUGAGGAAUAAGCCACGGCUAACUACUUGCCAGCAGCCGCGGUAAUCCGUAGGUGGCAAGCGUUCUCCGGAGUUACUGGGUGUCAAGGGCGGGUAGGCGGGAAAGCAAGUCAGAUGUGAAAACCAUGGGCUCAACCUGUGGCCUGCAUUUGCACCUGGUUUUCUUGAGUACUGGAGAGGCAGACGGAAUUCCUAGUGUAGCGGUGAAAUGCGUAGAUAUUAGGAGGAACACCAGUGGCGAAGGCGGUCUGCUGGACAGCAACUGACGCUGAGGCGCGAAAGCGUGGGGAGCAAACAGGAUUAGAUACCCUAGUAGUC